ACGCUGGCGGCAGGCCUAACACAUGCAAGUCGAGCGGUAGAGAGAAGCUUGCUUCUCUUGAGAGCGGCGGACGGGUGAGUAAUGCCUAGGAAUCUGCCUGGUAGUGGGGGAUAACGUUCGGAAACGGACGCUAAUACCGCAUACGUCCUACGGGAGAAAGCAGGGGACCUUCGGGCCUUGCGCUAUCAGAUGAGCCUAGGUCGGAUUAGCUAGUUGGUGGGGUAAUGGCUCACCAAGGCGACGAUCCGUAACUGGUCUGAGAGGAUGAUCAGUCACACUGGAACUGAGACACGGUCCAGACUCCUACGGGAGGCAGCAGUGGGGAAUAUUGGACAAUGGGCGAAAGCCUGAUCCAGCCAUGCCGCGUGUGUGAAGAGGGUCUUCGGAUUGUAAAGCACUUUAAGUUGGGAGGAAGGGUUGUAGAUUAAUACUCUGCAAUUUUGACGUUACCGACAGAAUAAGCACCGGCUAACUCUGUGCCAGCAGCCGCGGUAAUACAGAGGGUGCAAGCGUUAAUCGGAAUUACUGGGCGUAAAGCGCGCGUAGGUGGUUAGUUAAGUUGGAUGUGAAAUCCCCGGGCUCAACCUGGGAACUGCAUUCAAAACUGACUGACUAGAGUAUGGUAGAGGGUGGUGGAAUUUCCUGUGUAGCGGUGAAAUGCGUAGAUAUAGGAAGGAACACCAGUGGCGAAGGCGACCACCUGGACUGAUACUGACACUGAGGUGCGAAAGCGUGGGGAGCAAAC
rnacentral:rRNA from 1 species